AACGCUUUUUACCUUGCGUACUAUAAAAGAAGUAAUCCGACUGCGUAGUAGUGGCGAGUUAAUUCUAUUUGCCAAGUUUCAACAUAGCAGAAAAACUUCCUUUAUACCAAUAAAUGCAGACCUUGCUACGAUGUCGUAUUAAUCAAAUUGCCGUGUUUCCUAUCAAAAAAAAGAAAACUGCGGAAGACAGCCUUUAUUGGUUUAAGCUUGCUGUUGCUUCCGUUCUGUUUCUCGUCAAUGAAUGCUUAAAAGAAUGAGAGAUAAACACUAUUGAAAUAUUUAAAAUUUUGUUUUAUUUUGGUUGAAGAGGAAAAAUAUUUACAACUUAUGUAUCUAUAAAUAAACCAAUCAAUCUAAACAGCUUCAGUAUCUCCUCCUUCCAAUAAAAUACAGAAAAAACAUUAUUAUUCACAGUAUGGCACCUCAUAGAACACCUGCAUGCGCUGUUACAAACAUGACGUCAGCAUAUAUUAAUAACAAACGUUUCCAUGGAAACUACAGAACACAAAAUGAAUAAAAUACAAUAGAGAAAAGAAAAAGAUAUUGCGAUUAGGAAAUUAUCUUUUCAUCGGAAAGUAGGGGAGGCUUAUAUCCUUGUUGAAACUUGCUAUAUGAAGGAUUUUGGUAAAGAAAAUUAGCACACACACACAGGCACACAGACAGUAAUAUACAGCUGUACGGCUCUACGACAAUAUUCUAGAACCACAACAACAUCAAGUAUCGAAGAGAAAUUUCAAUUCUGCAUAGAAACUUGUUCUAUAACCACUCACCAAUGUUUGACAAUAGGUGGAAAUGAAGUUCAGAUGCUUAUGGUGUGUUUUCAAGCUCAACAAAUAUGUAAAUCUAACUGUGCAAUAGAUAGGCUUAGACACAGACGAAGAUUUAUUUGGAAAGGAAAAGAUGACAAACCGACGUAAUUAUUAGGUUUUUUGUAAAAGAUACUUGUUAUGGAAAUUUUGCUUUGUAUUUAAUAGAGAUUGGAUACAUUUUAUGUUUGCUUUUAAUCAUGUCACAUAACUACUGGUUAUUUUUAGAAGAUAUAUUUUGUCUAAAUGUA